UGCUUAUCUUACUUGCCAAUUAGUGGGGGAUAACUCUGGGAAACCAGGGCUAAUACCGCAUUUUUUACUUCGGUAAUGAAAGGAAAUCGCAAGAUUUUCGCUAAUUGAUAGGGAUAAGUCGUAUUAGUUAGUUGGUGGGGUAAUGGCCUACCAAGACAAUGAUGCGUAGCCGGGCUGAGAGGCUGACCGGCCACAAGGGAACUGAGACACGGUCCCUACUCCUACGGGAGGCAGCAGUGAGGAAUUUUCGGCAAUGGGGGAAACCCUGACCGAGCAAUACUACGUGAAGGAGGAAGGUCUACGGAUUGUAAACUUCUGUUAGUGCGGAAGAAGGGCUGAACGUAAGUUCAGUCUUGACGGUACGCACAGAGAAAGCCACGACUAACUACGUGCCAGCAGUCGCGGUAAGACGUAGGUGGCGAACGUUAUCCGGAAUUAUUGGGCGUAAAGGGUGCGUAGACGGCGAAAUAAGUUAGUGGUGGAAAACGGGGCUCAACCUCGUGGAAGUCAUUAAUACUGUUUUGCUAGAGGGCAGAAGAGGUUAACGGAACUCCCUGUGGAGCGGUAAAAUGUGUAGAUAUAGGGAAGAACACCGAUAAGGCGAAGGCAGUUAACUAUUCUGUUCCUGACGUUGAGGCACGAAAGCGUGGGGAGCAAACCGGAUUAGAUACCCGGGUAGUCCACGCCCUAAACGAUGAGUGCUAGAUAUUGGAAACUUGAUUUUCAGUGUCGCUAGAUAACUCGGUAAGCACUCCGCCUGGGUAGUACGCUCGCAAGAGUGAAACUCAAAGGAAUUGACGGGGACUCGCACAAGCACUGGAGCAUGUGGUUUAAUCCGAUGCAACGCGUAGAACCUUACCAAGGCUUGACAUGUUUGGCAAAACUCGGGAAACCGAGCGGAGGUUAUCCAAACACAGGUGCUGCAUGGCCGUCGUCAGUUCGUGCCGUGAGGUGUAUGGUUAAGUCCUAUAACGAACGCAACCCUUGGGCUUAGUUGCCAGCAUUCAGUUGGGGACUCUAAGCCGACUGCCUGAGUAAUCAGGAGGAAGGAAAGGAUGACGUUUGGUCGUCAUCUGC
rnacentral:rRNA from 1 species